CAGUCGCCACGGUAAUACGGAGGGAGCUAGCGUUGUUCGGAAUCACUGGGCGUAAAGCGCACGUAGGCGGCUAUUCAAGUCAGGGGUGAAAGCCCGGGGCUCAACCCCGGAACUGCCUUUGAAACUAGAUAGCUUGAAUCUUGGAGAGGCGAGUGGAAUUCCGAGUGUAGAGGUGAAAUUCGUAGAUAUUCGGAAGAACGCCAGUGGCGAAGGCGACUCGCUGGACAAGUAUUGACGCUGAGGUGCGAAAGCGUGGGGAGCAAACAGGAUUAGAUACCCGCGUAGUCCCUGUCUCUUAUAA
rnacentral:rRNA from 1 species